UACGGGGGGGGGCAAGCGUUGUUCGGAAUUACUGGGCGUAAAGGGCUCGUAGGCGGCCAACUAAGUCAGACGUGAAAUCCCCAGGCUCAACCUGGGAACUGCGUCUGAUACUGGAUGGCUUGAAUCCGGGAGAGGGAUGCAGAAUUCCAGGUGUAGCGGUGAAAUGCGUAGAUAUCUGGAGGAAUACCGGUGGCGAAGGCGGCAUCCUGGACCGGCAUUGACGCUGAGGCGCGAAAAGCGUGGGGGAGCGAACAGG
rnacentral:rRNA from 1 species